rnacentral:lncRNA from 1 species
GUGCCUUCUCUAUAAUGAUCAGUUUUGCUUUUCUGUAUGAGCAAAGAGACAUGUGUAUCAGUAAAAUUUAAAUCAGAUCUUUUUAAAUUUACCAUUUCAGAAAAUCUUAAAAACCCUGCAUAGCUAAUAAGACACAUACAACAAAUUCUAAUUUCUAUAAGAUUGUUACAUUCUUGACCAUAUUUAAUAACAAUUUUCUUUAAAAUAUCUGGUGUAAUUGGUUCUUUUUUAUUUACAAUAACAUGUCCAAUCUUUCUAUGAGCUCCUUCUUUAACCGAUAUACACAACUGUGAAUAACACGGAUUGGGAUAGCCAGCUAGUUUAUGAGCCCAGCUUAUGGAAUAAUAUGCUUCUUCAACCUUAGCAUACGAAUUAAAUGUCUUUGAUAGGUGUAUUAAGUACAAUGAAACAUAAAAAUC